UCUGGCUUAUAGCCCAGCGGUCUCACUAGAGUCCCCAACUUAAUGCUGGUAACUAGUGACGAGGGUUGCGCUCGUUGCGGGACUUAACCCAACAUCUCACAACACGAGCUGACGACAGCCAUGCAGCACCUGUCUCCGCGUCCCCGAAGGGAACCCCCGCUUUCACGGGGUGGCGCGGGAUGUCAAGCCUAGGUAAGGUUUUUCGCGUAGCAUCGAAUUAAACCACAUGCUCCGCUGCUUGUGCGGGUCCCCGUCAAUUCCUUUGAGUUUUAGCCUUGCGGCCGUACUCCCCAGGCGGGGCACUUAAUGCGUUAGCGUCGGCACGGGGGGAGUCGACACCCCCCACACCUAGUGCCCAUCGUUUACGGCGUGGACUAC
rnacentral:misc_RNA from 1 species